UCCAGGCUGUAAACGAUGCCCGCUUGAUGUAUCGCUCCUUUCGAAGGAGUGAUGUGUCGUAGCGUAGGUGUUAAGCGGGCCACCUGGGGAGUACGGUCGCAAGACUGAAACUUAAGGGAAUUGGCGGGGGAGCACCUCAAGGAGUGGAGGCUGCGGUUCAAUUGGAUUCAACGCCAGACAUCUCACCAGAGAAGACAGCAGGAUGACGGUCACUCUGAAGGGGUUACC
rnacentral:rRNA from 1 species